rnacentral:rRNA from 1 species
UGGGGAAUAUUGCACAAUGGGCGCAAGCCUGAUGCAGCCAUGCCGCGUGUGUGAAGAAGGCCUUCGGGUUGUAAAGCACUUUCAGUCGUGAGGAAGGUAGUGUAGUUAAUAGCUGCAUUAUUUGACGUUAGCGACAGAAGAAGCACCGGCUAACUCCGUGCCAGCAGCCGCGGUAAUACGGAGGGUGCGAGCGUUAAUCGGAAUUACUGGGCGUAAAGCGCAUGCAGGUGGUUCGUUAAGUCAGAUGUGAAAGCCCGGGGCUCAACCUCGGAACUGCAUUUGAAACUGUCGGACUAGAGUACUGUAGAGGGGGGUAGAAUUUCAGGUGUAGCGGUGAAAUGCGUAGAGAUCUGAAGGAAUACCGGUGGCGAAGGCGGCCCCCUGGACAGAUACUGACACUCAGAUGCGAAAGCGUGGGGAGCAAACAGGAUUAGAUACCCUGGUAGUCCACGCCGUAAACGAUGUCUACUUGGAGGUUGUUCCCUUGAGG